rnacentral:rRNA from 1 species
UACGAGAGGCCCAAACGUUGUUCGGAUUCAUUGGGCGUAAAGGGUGCGUAGGUGGUGAUGCAAGUCUGGUGUGAAAUCUCGGAGCUCAACUCCGAAAUUGCACCGGAUACUGCGUGACUCGAGGACUGUAGAGGAGAUCGGAAUUCACGGUGUAGCAGUGAAAUGCGUAGAUAUCGUGAGGAAGACCAGUUGCGAAGGCGGAUCUCUGGGCAGUUCCUGACACUGAGGCACGAAGGCCAGGGGAGCAAACGGG